UUUUUUCAGUUAUAUUGUUCUUUUUCCAGAGUUCCCUUACCAUGAGAAAGCAGACAGUGAAAGACGAGAUCAAGAGCAGCACCAUGUCUUGUCCAUGUGUACAAUACAUGAUAUGAAGCAAGAUUUAGGGCAUUGUCAAGUAUUGUGGUAGCAGCAACCCAUUCCAGAAACCCAUUGUAAGGGGGAAUCUGCAUCUGGCAUUGAUAGUAAGGAGAAGUCCUGUAUGGGUAUAUAUUGUUUUCCAGAUGACAGUUCUAGAGUUCCCUUACCAUGAAAAAACAGACAGUGAAAGAAGGGAUCAAGAGCAGCACCAUGUCUUGUCCAUGUGUACAAUACAUGAUAUGAAGCAAGAUUUAGGGCAUUGUCAAGUAUUGUGGUAGCAGCAACCCAUUCCAGAAACCCAUUAUUUUCCUUACCAUGAAAAAGGAGGCAGUGAAAGACAGCAUCAAGAGCAGCACCAUAUGUCUUAUCCAUGAGUACAAUAUAUGAUGAAGCCCUGAACCUGGGAAAUAUGUGUACUUUAGAUAAACGAAGGGAAGAUCUGUGCAAAACUUUCUUUUACAAAAUAACUGAACCCUCUGACAAACUGAAUCACAUUUUAAUUGAGUAAUCCAAUCAUCUUUUAAGAUCAAACAAUAAAUACAAAGUGCCAAAAUUUAAGACCGAUAGAUACCGAUGCUCUUUUAUUCCAUAUGCACUUUUAAAUUUCCAAUAGUAUAAUGUUGUCUUUUAUCCUAAGUACAGUAAUUUUAAAGUUCAAGUAGCAGUCUUUUAACUCAGUUUCAUUCAAGCAAAUAUCAUUUUAUUAUCAUUAUGAUGUUCUUUACAUUCUAUGUACAACUUCAACCCA
rnacentral:lncRNA from 1 species